UACGUAGGCAGCGAGCGUUGUUCGGAGUUACUGGGCGUAAAGGGUGUGUAGGCGGUUGUUUAAGUUUGGUGUGAAAUCUCCCGGCUCAACUGGGAGGGUGCGCCGAAUACUGAAUGACUAGAGUACGGGAGAGGAAAGUGGAAUUCCUGGUGUAGCGGUGAAAUGCGCAGAUAUCAGGAGGAACACCAAUGGCGAAGGCAGCUCGCUGGAACGGUACUGACGCUGAGGCGCGAAAGCGUGGGGAGCAAACAGG
rnacentral:rRNA from 1 species